GAUUUGACGUCAUCCCCACCUUCCUCACAUCUUACGAUGGCAGUCUUGUCAGAGUCCUCAGCGGAACCUGUUAGUAACUGACAACAAGGGUUGCGCUCGUUAUGGCACUUAAGCCGACACCUCACGGCACGAGCUGACGACAACCAUGCAGCACCUUCACAGAUGCCUUGCGGCUUACGGCUUUCACCGUAAUUCAUCUGCAAUUUAAGCCCGGGUAAGGUUCCUCGCGUAUCAUCGAAUUAAACCACAUGUUCCUCCGCUUGUGCGGGCCCCCGUCAAUUCCUUUGAGUUUCACCGUUGCCGGCGUACUCCCCAGGUGGAAUACUUAACGCUUUCGCUUGGCCGCUUGCAGUAUAUCGCAAACAGCGAGUAUUCAUCGUUUACCGUGUGGACUACCAGGGUAUCUAAUCCUGUUUGAUACCCACACUUUCGAGCCUCAAUGUCAGUUGCAGCUUAGCAGGCUGCCUUCGCAAUCGGAGUUCUUCGUGAUAUCUAAGCAUUUCACCGCUACACCACGAAUUCCGCCUGCCUCAACUGCACUCAAGAUAUCCAGUAUCAACUGCAAUUUUACGGUUGAGCCGCAAACUUUCACAACUGACUUAAACAUCCAUCUACGCUCCCUUUAAACCCAAUAAAUCCGGAUAACGCUCGGAUCCUCCGUAUUACCGCGGCUGCUGGCACGGAGUUAGCCGAUCCUUAUUCAUAAAGUACAUGCAAACGGGUAUACAUACCCGACUUUAUUCCUUUAUAAAAGAAGUUUACAACCCAUAGGGCAGUCAUCCUUCACGCUACUUGGCUGGUUCAGGCUCUCGCCCAUUGACCAAUAUUCCUCACUGCUGCCUCCCGUAGGAGUUUGGACCGUGUCUCAGUUCCAAUGUGGGGGACCUUCCUCUCAGAACCCCUAUCCAUCGAAGACUAGGUGGGCCGUUACCCCGCCUACUAUCUAAUGGAACGCAUCCCCAUCGUC
rnacentral:rRNA from 1 species